AUCCAGCUGACGAGUUCCAAAUAAGACGAAACGCGCGUCCUGGAU
rfam:Schistosoma curassoni strain Dakar, Senegal genome assembly, scaffold: SCTD_scaffold0000134